AUUGAACGCUGGCGGCAGGCCUAACACAUGCAAGUCGAACGAGCGGCGGACGGGUGAGUAAUGUCUGGGAAUCUGCCCGAUAGAGGGGGAUAACUACUGGAAACGGUGGCUAAUACCGCAUACUAUCGGAUGAACCCAUAUGGGCUUAGCGUGUUGGUGGGGUAAGGGCUCACCGAGGCGACGAUCUCUAGGUGGUCUGAGAGGAUGAUAAGCCACACUGGAACUGAGACACGGUCCAGACUCCUACGGGAGGCAGCAGUGGGGAAAAUUGCAAAAUGGGCGCAAGCCUGAUGCAGCCAUGCCUCGUGUAUGAAGAAGGCCUUAGGGUUUUAAAGUACUUUCAGCGGGGAGGCGUUACCCGCAGAAGAAGCACCGGCUAACUCCGUGCCAGCAGCCGCGGUAAUAC
rnacentral:rRNA from 1 species